rnacentral:snRNA from 1 species
GUGCUUGCUUCGGCAGCACAUAUACUAAAAUUGGAAUGAUUCAGAGAUUAGCAUGGCCCCUGCGCAAAAGAUGACAUGCAAAUUUGUGAAGCGUUCCAUAUUUUG